rnacentral:sRNA from 1 species
ACAAAACUAAAAAAAAA